UGAUCUCCCGCUUGCGGGGGUGAUUAGUGGCGAACGGGUGAGUAAUACGUGAGUAACCUGCCCUUGACUCUGGGAUAAGCCUGGGAAACCGGGUCUAAUACUGGAUACGACCCCCUGUCGCAUGGUGGGGGGUGGAAAGGGUUUGACUGGUUUUGGAUGGGCUCACGGCCUAUCAGCUUGUUGGUGGGGUAAUGGCUCACCAAGGCGACGACGGGUAGCCGGCCUGAGAGGGUGACCGGCCACACUGGGACUGAGACACGGCCCAGACUCCUACGGGAGGCAGCAGUGGGGAAUAUUGCACAAUGGGCGGAAGCCUGAUGCAGCGACGCCGCGUGAGGGAUGACGGCCUUCGGGUUGUAAACCUCUUUCAGCAGGGAAGAAGCCACAAGUGACGGUACCUGCAGAAGAAGCGCCGGCUAACUACGUGCCAGCAGCCGCGGUAAUACGUAGGGCGCAAGCGUUGUCCGGAAUUAUUGGGCGUAAAGAGCUCGUAGGCGGUUUGUCGCGUCUGCUGUGAAAGCCCGGGGCUCAACCCCCGGGUCUGCAGUGGGUACGGGCAGACUAGAGUGCAGUAGGGGAGACUGGAAUUUCCUGGUGUAGCGGUGAAAUGCGCAGAUAUCAGGAGGAACACCGAUGGCGAAGGCAGGUCUCUGGGCUGUUACUGACGCUGAGGAGCGAAAGCAUGGGGAGCGAACAGGAUUAGAUACCCUGGUAGUCCAUGCCGUAAACGUUGGGCACUAGGUGUGGGGGACAUUCCACGUU
rnacentral:rRNA from 1 species